rnacentral:misc_RNA from 1 species
AAGUCGUAACAAGGUUUCCGUAGGUGAACCUGCGGAAGGAUCAUUAUUGAAUACGCUUGAGUGCUGAUGCUGGCUUUCGGGCAUGUGCUCGCCUCAACUAUUUAUCUUUCACUUGUGCACCUUUUGUAGUCCGUCUUCUGUUUUCCGUUGAAAAUGCGGGUUUGGGGUUCCUUUGUUGAACUCUGGGAGGGAGGACUAUGUUUUCAUAUACACUAUUAAAGUUACAGAAUGUCAUAUUAACGGCUUGUGCUUGCACAGUCAUUAAACCUAUACAACUUUCAGCAACGGAUCUCUUGGCUCUC